rnacentral:tRNA from 1 species
GCAGUAGUGGCUCAGUGUUAGAGCGUUGGUCUUGUAAACCGAAUGUCGGGAGUUAGAAUCCCCCCUACUGCU